AAAACCCCUGUGAACAUACCACUUGUUGCCUCGGCGGAUCAGCCCGCUCCCGGUAAAACGGGACGGCCCGCCAGAGGACCCCUAAACUCUGUUUCUAUAUGUAACUUCUGAGUAAAACCAUAAAUAAAUCAAAACUUUCAACAACGGAUCUCUUGGUUCUGGCAUCGAUGAAGAACGCAGCAAAAUGCGAUAAGUAAUGUGAAUUGCAGAAUUCAGUGAAUCAUCGAAUCUUUGAACGCACAUUGCGCCCGCCAGUAUUCUGGCGGGCAUGCCUGUUCGAGCGUCAUUUCAACCCUCAAGCACAGCUUGGUGUUGGGACUCGCGUUAAUUCGCGUUCCUCAAAUUGAUUGGCGGUCACGUCGAGCUUCCAUAGCGUAGUAGUAAAACCCUCGUUACUGGUAAUCGUCGCGGCCACGCCGUUAAACCCCAACUUCUGAAUGUUGACCUCGGAUCAGGUAGGAAUACCCG
rnacentral:rRNA from 1 species